rnacentral:rRNA from 1 species
AACGAACGCUGGCGGCGUGCCUAACACAUGCAAGUCGUGCGAGAAAAGGGGGGCAACUCCCUGAGUAAAGCGGCGCACGGGUGAGUAACACGUAGGUAACCUACCCCCGAGCCCGGGAUAACCUACCGAAAGGUGGGCUAAUACUGGAUAUGACCACGGGAACUUCGGCUCCCGCGGUGAAAGGUGGCCUCUGCUUGCAAAGCUACCACUCGAGGACGGGCCUGCGCGCCAUUAGCUAGUUGGGGGGUAAUGGCUCACCAAGGCGAAUGAUGGCUAGC